UACGAAGGGGGCUAGCGUUGCUCGGAAUCACUGGGCGUAAAGCGCACGUAGGCGGAUUGUUAAGUCGGGGGUGAAAUCCUGGAGCUCAACUCCAGAACUGCCUUCGAUACUGAAGAGCUUGAGUCCGGGAGAGGUGAGUGGAACUGCGAGUGUAGAGGUGAAAUUCGUAGAUAUUCGCAAGAACACCAGUGGCGAAGGCGGCUCACUGGCCCGGUACUGACGCUGAGGUGCGAAAGCGUGGGGAGCAAACGGG
rnacentral:rRNA from 1 species